rnacentral:ribozyme from 1 species
GUGCGUCUGGAUUCGGAACAGCCGAGCAACUAGACACGCUCGAAACACAAGAAAAUAAUGAUAAUGUGGAAAUAGUUACCGAAACUAGCACUUGAUACAUUAGUGAUUUGAUUUUCAACUAUCGUCUUCUCAUUGCUACCAUAGUCCUUUUCUCUUGUGACGUUCUCUCUUCUACAUUUCCGGGAAGACGUUGCUUUUUAGAAU